AAGAGUCACACCGUUUCGAAGAGGUUUUACCGUUUACUUUUACGCUACUUACUCGCCUAUAUAUACUAACCCUUUUCUUUCAUGGAAAACCAUCUUGAAAAAUAUGAAUUGUAAAGAUUGCCGGAAGAAACAGAGACAACAAUUACUACGAAUUGUUAACGGCGAUACCGUUAUGGACGAGGGUGGUUUGUUCAAGGUUUGAUCGGAACGACCCGAUUGAAUGUGAAUAGUUUAUCCAUGAAGAAACCUUCCAGUUGUGGCGAUCUAGCGGUAGGCCGGUUCGACGGUCGGAUUAUUAAGUGAUUUAAACUUCUGUUAAAGAUGGCGACGGUCUUAUUUUAGAUAUGCAUUCCAUUUGCCGCCUGCCAAGUAUAUAAAUGAUGGUGAAGACGAGGACUUCGAUGGUAAAGUGAGAAAUUUGAAAAGUUGAAUAUGAAGAUAAAGAAAAUAUGCAGGAAUGAGUGUUUAAUUCUUUUAUCAGUUACGAGAAAAUCUUCAACCAAGAAGAACGUAGAACAGGGCAUCCCGAAAGUUGCGUGCCAGACCCCUGUUAUGAAAAAAGUCACAAUAAAAAACAAAGAAAAAAUUGAAUCUUUAUAA